AACGAACGCUGGCGGCAUGCCUAACACAUGCAAGUCGAACGAGACCUUCGGGUCUAGUGGCGCACGGGUGCGUAACGCGUGGGAACCUGCCCUUAGGUUCGGAAUAACUUCCCGAAAGGGGUGCUAAUACCGGAUAAUGUCUUCGGACCACAGAUUUAUCGACUUUGGAUGGGCCCGCGUUGGAUUAGUUAGUUGGUAGGGUAAAAGCAUACCAAGGCGACGAUCCAUAGCUGGUCUGAGAGGAUGAUCAGCCACACUGGGACUGAGACACGGCCCAGACUCCUACGGGAGGCAGCAGUGUGGAAUAUUGGACAAUGGGCGAAAGCCUGAUCCAGCAAUGCCGCGUGAGUGAUGAAGGCCUUAGGGUUGUAAAGCUCUUUUACCCGGGAUGAUAAUGACAUUACCGGGAGAAUAAGCUCCGGCUAACUCCGUG
rnacentral:rRNA from 1 species